rnacentral:ncRNA from 1 species
UUCCCCUCAGGAGGGUUGAAGUAAACAUUUUGAAGCAAUUAUAUUUGGUGAAGAGAAUGAUUAGAGAAAUUGUGGAACGCAACAUCUUCAACCUGUUCUCAAAUUUUCAAUGGAUAUGGUACAUCUCACUUGCUUAAAUGAACGUAGACAGUGUGUGCUCCAAGAAGGCUAUUUUUGGUAAGUAGGGCUGACGCCGUGGGAUGAACCA